rnacentral:rRNA from 1 species
GAUGAACGCUGGCGGCGUGCCUAACACACGCAAGUCGAACGGAGUCGUUUUGGAAAUCUCUUCGGAGAUGGAAUUCUCGACUUAGUGGCGGACGGGUGAGUAACGCGUGAGCAAUCUGCCUUUAAGAGGGGGAUAACAGUCGGAAACGGCUGCUAAUACCGCAUAAAGCAUUAAAUUCGCAUGUUUUUGAUGCCAAAGGAGCAAUCCGCUUUUAGAUGAGCUCGCGUCUGAUUAGCUAGUUGGCGGGGUAACGGCCCACCAAGGCGACGAUCAGUAGCCGGACUGAGAGGUUGAACGGCCACAUUGGGACUGAGACACGGCCCAGACUCCUACGGGAGGCAGCAGUGGGGAAUAUUGCGCAAUGGGGGAAACCCUGACGCAGCAACGCCGCGUGAUUGAAGAAGGCCUUCGGGUUGUAAAGAUCUUUAAUCAGGGACGAAACAAAUGACGGUAC